rnacentral:tRNA from 1 species
GCGGGUAUGGUUCAAUGGUAGAACAUCUGGUUGCCAAUCAGAUGAUGGGAGUUCGAUUCUCCCUACCCGCACAA